CAGGAUUGGAGCUGAUGAUGCCAACGCUCCAUAAUCGGUUUAAUUGCUUUGCUAUAUAAAUAUGACUUUUGUUGUUUUACAUAGAUAGUUAUAAAUGUUUGAUGUUGUGUAGUUUUUCCAUUGUCUUCAAACAGAGGUCAGAGAAAUUGUGGAUGAUCUAUGUUCUUUGAGCCUUGGAUAAAUGAUGAAGAGGGUAACAGAUAAUGUGGAGAAAUAUGAGAUUGGUCGAACAAUUGGUGAAGGCACAUUUACAGAGUUCAAGUUUGCAAAAAAUACAGAGACUGGUGUGGCUAUUGUUGUUAAGGUUCUAGCUAAAAACACAAAACUGAAGCAUAAAUUGGUGGAUCAGGUUUUGUCAAGCCAUACAAAGAUAUAUGAUACUGGAAUUUGUCACUAGAGGAGAGCUUUUUGGCAGAAUCGUAAGCUCUACUUUUGAUAGAACAGUGAUAAUAAUAAUGUCCUGCAAGAACGAACAAAGUUAAAAGUUCAAGUGUUGCAAGGAAAUGGUUGUGAUGAGCUGUUGAAGAUAAUGGACUAUGUUUCCCUGCCGCAUUUCUACAGACACUACUUCUGACCGCUACUCAUUAGACCAUCCUUUUCAUCAAGAAUUUUACAGCUACAUAAAGCAGCUAUCUGGAGUCCAUGAACCAAUUAAACCAACAAAACAAGGGUCAAUGAAUCAUGUUGAAGUACCCUUGGGAGACAAAACAUUGGAAUCCAAAUUGAAGAAGCUUUGAAACCAUAAGAGUCUCUCUGGGUCCUUUCAGAAUUUCAAGAUUGGCGAUUAAGGUCCUCAGUAUCCAUGUUAGUGUUUGGUGUGGUUCAGUCCUUAGUAGCUUAAAGUACAUUGUUGCAGUAUUCUUCAAAACAUAUCAAAUAAAGUUAUCUCUAUUUAUACCCAAGAAGGUAAAUUCUUUCUGCAUUUCAUAUUUGUUUCAAACAAAAAGUCAAUUAAUUAGGUUACUUGUUUUUUAUAACUGGUUUGGUUUAGUCCCGAUAAGUUUUCUUUUAACUUAAUGUAAAAAAGAAAGAGGAAAUUUAUACCAAAGAAGGAUCCAUGUUCAUUUUAAUAUAUCUCCCUUUUAAUGUUGUCCCAUUUAACAUAUCUUUCUGGCUGAUUAGGUUUGGUUGGAAUGGAAUUAUAUAACAUGGUUUGUAAUUGGCUGCUGAAUAGGGUUUGAAUGCAAUCAUGUGAACGUGGGUGGAAUGGCUGGGAGGAAAUCUUGAUGUUGUACAAGUGACAUCAAGUACGGUUGAAUGGUGUAUCAAGUACGGUUGUAUGGUGUAUUAGAUGACAUUGAUAGGAUUCAUAUAGUACGGUUAAAAAGCCGUACACUAUUAGGCAUGUAAUCUAAUACACCCCUUUAUUAAUACGCCCUCUAUGUACGUAUUAUAUUCAUAAUUUCAACCGUACUCUAUUAACCUUUUUCUAGUAGUGUAUGUUAGGGUGCAAAGUUCUCCUUGGAUGUGGCUUACCCUCUUGUGUGUGUAAUGGGUUGAGUCUUUCCUAUAAAUAAGAAGUGAGUGGCUCCCAUUAUGAAAGACCCAUUUUGUGAGUGUUAGUUUGGUGAGAGAAAUAAUAAAGCCUGCUUGUACUCUUACUAUUCUAAUGGAGCCUAAAU